GUCAAUUCAUUCGGCGGGUGUUUCAAAAUUUCUCGACAAAAAACUUUAUUUUACGUUUCUUUCCGCAAGAAAAGACUUUUUUGGGCGGAUUGGGAUUGGAAAUGGCUUCCAAACACAGGAGAGUCUGCCUGGCUUAUACAGAGGCUCUGGCUAUGAUGGUUGUGCUGAUCGGUCUUCAACAUGGAGAACUUUUAGCAGAGUGGAGACUGGAGCCAGGAUUCUCAGCCUGGUUUCAUGAGGUAGUUUGGAAACCCAUCAUCUUCAUUCUCAGUCUUAGAUGGA